UACGGAGGGGGCGAGCGUUAUUCGGAAUUAUUGGGCGUAAAGGGCGCGUAGGCGGCUUGUCAAGUCAAAGGUGAAAUCCCUCGGCUCAACUGAGGAGCUGCCUUUGAAACUAGCGAGCUUGAGGCCGGGAGGGGGUAGCGGAAUUCCCAGUGUAGCGGUGAAAUGCGUAGAUAUUGGGAGGAACACCAGUGGCGAAGGCGGCUACCUGGACCGGUACUGACGCUGAGGCGCGAAAGCGUGGGGAGCAAACAGG
rnacentral:rRNA from 1 species